AUCCGGCUGACGAGUCCCAAAUAGGACGAAACACGCGUCAAACUGGAU
rnacentral:hammerhead_ribozyme from 1 species